rnacentral:rRNA from 1 species
UACGUAGGGGGCAAGCGUUGUCCGGAUUUAUUGGGCGUAAAGCGCUCGCAGGUGGUCCGUCGCGUCGUGCGUGAAAGGCCCCGGCUCAACUGGGGAGGGUCGUGCGAUACGGGCGGACUGGAGGCCAGUAGGGGGAUGCGGAAUUCCGGGUGUAGUGGUGGAAUGCGUAGAGAUCCGGAGGAACACCAGCGGCGAAGGCGGCAUCCUGGACUGGUCCUGACACUCAGGAGCGAAAGCGUGGGGAGCGAUCCGGAUUAGAUACCCCCGUAGUCC